GGGGCUGUAGCUCAGCGGUUAGAGCAGGGGACUCAUAAUCCUUUGGUCGUGGGUUCAAUCCCCACCGGCCCUA
rnacentral:tRNA from 1 species